CCUACGGGAGGCAGCAGUGAGGAAUAUUGGUCAAUGGGCGCGAGCCUGAACCAGCCAAGUCGCGUGAGGGAAGACGGCCCUACGGGUUGUAAACCUCUUUUGCCGGGGAGCAACGGGCGCCACGUGUGGCGCCACUGCGAGUACCCGGAGAAAAAGCAUCGGCUAACCCCUUGCCAGCAGCCGCGGUAAUACGGAGGAUUCGAGCGUUAUCCGGAUUUAUUGGGUUUAAAGGGUGGGUAGGCGGGGCGUUAAGUCAGUGGUCAAAUUGAGGGGGUAAACCCCUUCCCGCCAUUGAAACUGGCGCUCUUGAGUGGAAGAGAAGUAGGCGGAAUGCGUGGUGUAGCGGUGAAAUGCAUAGAUAUCACGCAGAACCCCGAUUGCGAAGGCAGCAUGCCGGCUUCCUACUGACGCUGAAGCACGAAAGCGUGGGGAUCGAACAGGAUUAGAUACCCUAGUAGUC
rnacentral:rRNA from 1 species